rnacentral:rRNA from 1 species
CCUACGGGAGGCUGCAGUGAGGAAUAUUGGUCAAUGGGCGCGAGCCUGAACCAGCCAAGUAGCGUGAAGGAUGACUGCCCUACGGGUUGUAAACUUCUUUUAUAAAGGAAUAAAGUGAGGCACGUGUGCCUUUUUGUAUGUACUUUAUGAAUAAGGAUCGGCUAACUCCGUGCCAGCAGCCGCGGUAAUACGGAGGAUGCGAGCGUUAUCCGGAUUUAGUGGGUUUAAAGGGUGCGCAGGCGGAAUGUCAAGUCAGCGGUAAAAUUUCGGGGCUCAACCCCGUCGUGCCGUUGAAACUGGCGUGCUUGAGUGAGCGAGAAGUAUGCGGAAUGCGUGGUGUAGCGGUGAAAUGCAUAGAUAUCACGCAGAACUCCGAUUGCGAAGGCAGCAUACCGGCGCUCAACUGACGCUCAUGCACGAAAGCGUGGGUAUCGAACAGGAUUAGAUACCCCAGUAGUC